GACGAACGCUGGCGGCGUGCUUAACACAUGCAAGUCGAACGAAAUGGCGAACGGGUGAGUAACGCGUAAUCACCCGGCCCUUCAGAGGAGGACAACAGUUGGAAACGUCUACUAAUACCGCAUACUGAGGGUGGGGAUUGGGUGUGUUUGGCUGGUGGGAGGGGUAAGGGCCCACCAAGGCGAUGAGCAGUAGCCGGUCCUGGAGGGUGGACCGGCAAAUGUGGACUGGGACAAGGGCCAGACCCCUACGGGAGGCAGCAGUGGGGAAUCUUUCGCAAUGGACGAAAGUCUGACGGGGCAAAGCCGCGGGAGUUAUGACGGCCUUCGGGUUGUAAAGCUCUGUUAAUCGGGACGCGGUACCGGAAUAGAAAGCCACGGCUAACUACGUGCCAGCAGCCGCGGUAAUAC
rnacentral:rRNA from 1 species